AUGCUGCCCUGUGCCAGCGCGCAGCUCUGCGCUCUGGGCAGCCAGGCCUGCUGGAGCUGGGUGCACAUUUCUCCUCUGGGGGCUGGACAGGAGAGCUGGCCAGCACCCCUGUCGUCAGAUGUCACCCACCCCACCUCACACUGGCACGGAGGCUCGGCGAGGCGGGAGCAGGGCUGUGUCCCCGGCUGGUGGACACAGGAGGCUGAGUGGGCGGAGCUUCAGGCAGCCCGGGGCGGGCCCCAGGGAACCCUCCUCCCUGGCCUUGGGCAGCGCCUGGCCUUCCGGUCUGUGCGGGCCUUGACCAGGGCUCAGCGGCCCACGGCAGUAGAAGCUGGGACGCGCAGUCCAGGAUCUGCCCCCUCCCAGCGCAGCCCACGGCCAGUGGCCACUUCCACGCGUCCAGUCCCUCACACAGCCUCCAGGGGGCCCGGCAGGUGGUCGAAGAGAGGUGGUGAAGGUGGAAAACAAAGGACGGGCGGGAACCAUGGCUGGCGACCACCUGCGGCGGGCAGCACAGCGCAGCGGGCGUUAUCUCAGUCUCCACCGGUCGCCCUGCUGUCUCCGGAGAGGGGUGUCGAGGUCCCCGUCUCACCUGAGAUGCAGCCGCAUUCAAGCCCCGGGCAGCCCGGCAUGGCCACUCCCUGGAGCCCCGGCCUGGCACACACUCCCCCCAGCCCCGCACAAGGCUUCUGCCAGAGCACCUGCUCCACCCUCCAGGUCGGGGGAGCAGAGAAGCAGCCUGUGUUGUCCUCGCCUCGGUACAGGCUUCUCCCCGUGGACCCUCCCUGCAGCCUGUGGGGUGGGGCCGGGGUCAACUCCAAAGGCCUCCUCCUGCUACUGCCUCUCCCCAGUACAAAGCAGACACCCAGCUGGGCCCCACCCCGGGGACUGCUCUACAUGCUGAGGGCCUCGGGGAAGAAGCAAUCCUCAGCCGGUCAGGGAAGGCUUCCUGGAGGAGGAGGUGUUGAUGGGCGGGGCAGGGAGUGGGUGCUCCAGGCAGAGAGAAGAGCCCAGAUGGAGGAGAGCAGCUGUCCAGCCCCGAACGUGCUGGGAACCGGAAGUGGGACCCUGCCCGUGCCCACGCCACAGGAAGUCAGGAAGGCAGGCGUGUGGUGGGCACCUCUGAGGGCAGCAGGCACGAGCCUGGAGCAGUUCAGCCGGGAAGCAGCGAGGCUGCUGGUGGAGAGGACUGGACCGAGCUGGGAUCGUUCUCACAUAUGCUCACACCCUCACACACGCACACACACUCACACACACUCACACACACACACCCUUACAAUCACACACUCACUCUUAUAA
rnacentral:lncRNA from 1 species